rfam:Marinobacterium stanieri strain DSM 7027 genome assembly, contig: Ga0111666_118
GGGCAGGAUAGGCAUUCGUCAGACCGCCAGCAGGCUGGGCCGUUCCGAAUGCUGCAACUUAUUCGACCUGACGGUCUCAACGCAUUCUUCUCUACGAGGGA